GAAGGGCGGCGCCGGCGGCUGAGCUCCUCCAUGGACUGCUGCAGUUCCAGGGAGAUAGAGCUUCGAAGGCCCAGCUUUUCGAUUCGGAGCCCCUUCUUCUGGCCUCUUGAGCACCGAUCCCGUCAUCGUUCCUCUUCUUAGACCCCCUUGACGUCCUGCUGCUGCGGUCUCCACGCCGUCCCAGUCUUGGCCCGGCCACCGGGUCUCCUCCCUCUGACCCUCUCUCUAAGGUUUUGAAAGGGAGAAGAGAGGUUGAACCAUGGGGAAGGGGGAAGAGGAAGGCAGCCGCUAAGCCGCCCACUAGGAAGCGGAUGGACAAGCUCGAUAUGGUCUUUUCCUGCCCAUUCUGCAAUGAUAGGAGCAGCGUUGAAUGCCGGAUUGAUAUGGAAACCUGAUUGGUGAGGCUAAUUGUGAAAUCUGACAGGAAAGCUUCAGCAGCCAGCACCACUGCAAAUGGUAUGUCCAAAUCAUACAUAAAACUGCAGAUUGUACCUCCUAUAACAUAGACGUAGAUGCCAUAGAUGCCAUACUGAUUGGCUCUCAACUAGAAAAUUAUGCACCGGGCAUCUGAUUUGGUUUUGUUCCUUCUCAACCUAAUGAUUGCAACUCCGGGACAGGGUAUAGCUUAUGUAUACAUUUUGUACAGCCAUGCCCAUUUCAUAUACUCUUGGGGGUUUAAUC